UGGACGGAUUCGUUGCCUCUUCAGUAGCACACCUUGCCUCCUCAAUAGCUCACCUCAGCUCCUCCAGUCUUCAUAUGGGCAUCCAAUGCCCUAAGUUUCUUCUCUAAUAAGAGCUUCACUCAAUUGAAUCCAACCAAGCCUUCACCAAAAAUGGUGACAUCAUGCGCCACUACACAGAAUAAAAAGUCAGCAAUCAUUGCUAAAAGUCAAAAGCAAAGAUGAAAGACAAAAGCUCAUCUCGAGGAGAUUGGCAUAGAAAAUAUCAACCGUUAGAUGUAUAUCCUAGAAAGCCAAUAUGACUGACACAUUAUAAUAAUUCUAGGAUAUAUUUUUGUACUCAAACAUUUUUGAUAAUCAAUAAAGGAUAUUUUUUCUUUUCAUUCUUGUCUAAUGUGUCCAAGAAUCGUUCUAAGAAUUAAUGACUUAAAGAUAUAUAUUUUCAAGUAUUGAGAAUUAACAAUAUGUAUAAUUAAUUUUUGAAUUAUUUUUGAUCGAUAGAUCAUCAUGGGGAUGGUGAAUGAUCCGAUUAGGUCUGCGUAC
rnacentral:lncRNA from 1 species